AUUCUUGUGUCUUUCAGCCUGUUUCUGCCUAUCACCAUGAGUGAUUCCUCAAUACUCAGAUUUAUCAUCAAGAUCUCAAUUAUAAGCUCAAGUUUUGAUGACAACUUGGUGAUCUGCAGAAAGCACCACCAUGUAAGGAAGGCCAAGACCACUCUGGAAUCAGUCAAGGCUCAUAGAAACUCCAAUCUUCCCAACUGUGAGAGGGCCUUGCUCCAGUGACUGUUGGAUUGCAGUGACCAGACAUGCUACUGUAACUCUCAUGGUCAUGUGCUGGAAUUAGCAGAUGUUCAACAAUUUGGCCAUCUCGCUGACCUGUUGAUAUCAGAAGACCCCAACAGCUCUGCAAAGCAAGUUGCAAAACAGAAUCCAUGAAACUGGCAGUGACUGGAAACCAAUUGGAAGACUUUGGUCUGUGAUGUAGAGGAGUGGGCAGAGGCAGAAGCAAAGACAACAAAAAGAAGAAGUGAUGUGGAUGUCUUCGUCAUAUUGCAUGACUCUGCUGACCCAGCAACAAAGAGGAGGGUGUUCAACAUCAUCCUGCUAGUCAGGAUUCUUCAGGAGAAGCAGUGGAUUCUUGUGGCAGAGAUGGUCAACCACUAUAAAUACCUUUCAACUCAUCCUGGUUCUUUCAAAGAACUUUCUUGCUUGUUUGCUACUGAAAUAUUCGACAUGUGGCCUUAACGAAGAGGGGUUAAAAGGUCUAUGGAUCAUCAUUCUCAAAAAGCAACAAAAUAACUGAGAAAUAAACAACAAUACGAUGGUGCAAUCUAGAGACCUGCAAGGUACCUGC
rnacentral:lncRNA from 1 species